CUUGCCUUGUUUCUCGGCCCAAAUCUUACAUCUCACCUCAAGCUGAAUCUUGCUCAUGUAAUUAAUAAAAUCACCGACCUGAGUGAGGGAAUGUAGAUGGUGGGUCUCAGAGUUCACCACGAGCUCUAAAAGGACAACAGCACCCUCUUUCAAAGUAAAUCUGUGGAGUAAGAUAAGUUCCAGAUUUCAUGGCGCAAGCAACAGGUCACAGUGCUGCUGUGAUCACAGUUGAACAAACCACAGAGAGACCAGACAGGCAGAAAGAAGUCGAGCCGGAGAAAGAUGCUAAUAAAUGCUUUGAAGAUGGGAGCACCUGACCUAGAAAUGAAUGCAGAACAUUCAAAGAGGCUGGAGAUAGGAGUGUAUUAAAAUGUCAGGAGAGGACAUUCAAUUUAUAGGAAGACAAAAGGUGAUUUUUA